AGAAAUCAAAGGUUACACAAAAAGCUUCUAACUUUUAGUGGGUAGUUCAAUUCUACCGAUUUCUU
rnacentral:tRNA from 1 species